rnacentral:misc_RNA from 1 species
GAAGACUCAUGGCUCGUAGACCCGUUCAUUUUCUCAUGGGCCAAUUCAUCACCCGACCCGGAACAUACCGGAUUCGAUUUUUUCGCUUUUGUGUUAGCCCCUGAGCGCUUGAAUCGACAUCGGGUCCUGACCCGAUGCAGCUCGCUGGACUUGGUAGAGUUUUCAUCUUUGUUAAUAUGCCUAAUAUCGUAAGGCAAUUUCAAAGGAGGACCGUUGUUGUUUACAGCAAUUUCAGAAGCUAUGGGAGUAAUUGGAGUUCCUUUGAGUACCGCCUCCACAGCAUUUUGACAAAGCUGCCAAUUCCCUGACCAUAACAACCCUACCGAUCCAUAAAUCGGGUUCACUAUUCUUCCACAAGCCUCAUAAAGCAAUGACCUAAAUAUCGCAGGACGAAGAUGAUCAGGGCCAGCGUUAAUGAGAUUCAUCAGACCAGCACGGCCGUAAAACUUUGCCAGAAAAACAGUGGCGUUGGACUGAGAAUCCGGGGUUUUGAUCCAUUGAAGACAAGGCCUAAUGCUACAACUUUCGCUGCAACCUUUACGAAGAACUCUACAACCAUUGCAACUCAUACGCAUCACUAAUUUUG